GAUUUGUGUGUCUGCUUUUCUUUGCUCUCUGCUCUUUAUUGGUUGCUCCUAGGCUGGAAAAGAGAUGUAACCUCAGGAAGCAGGUAAUUUAUUACAGAGAUCUGGCAAGGCUUCACAGUGAAUGAAGCCUGGUGGUGCUACAGCGGGUGACAAAGGCAAACCGGAUCCUGUAUUUAAACAAAACUGAAGGAAGUGCAGAGAGCCCGCGUUUGGCUCUCCGCGAGGUCUCCAUAUGCUGGCCCUCCCGUGCACACACUGGGGAGCAUUGUUCACAGUUUGAGAGUCAUCGCUGCAGCCUGCACUGACGUGAGUCUCCACCAUCAGCUAAGAGGAACACUGGUCUCCCACACAGCAGCCAAAUCCAAGAUCAGUGCUUCCCAGGGAGCACUAGAAACCAAACAUAACAACAAGAAAUGACUUUCCAAACACCCUUUCACAGAGAAAAAUAGAGAGUACAAACAAUAUUUUCAUCAUUAGUAGUUAUAAAAUAUUCAUGAUGUUCUAGGGAGAUAAAAGGUAAGGAUAUCUCACCCCUCACCCAUCCCCACCUACCUUGACCCAUCCUUCCCAACCUCACCUGUAAAAGAGUUCAAAUUGGACUUGUAUAAAUUCCCCCAAAGAGUGUACCUACUUCUGAAAUACAGAGGAAGGAAUGUUCUUCAUUCUUACCUUCUGUUAAGGAGUUAAGAGAAGGUAGUACUAUUUACUAAGUUCCUGGCAUAUACCAAGACAUUUUCUUUUUUUCUGUUUUUUGUUUGUUUGUUUUUGUUUUUUGUUUUUUGAGACAGGUCUCCCUCUGUCACCCAGCCUGGAGUGCUGUGAUGCAAUCAUAGCUCAUUGCAGCCUACAACUCCUAGGCUCAAGUGAUCCUCCUGCCUCAGCCUCCCACGCAGCUGGGACUACAGGUGGAUCACCACGCCCAGCUAAUUUUUUUUUUUUCUUGGUAGAGACAGUUGCCCAGGCUGCUCUUGAACUCCUGGCCUCAAAGGAUCCUCCAGACUUGGCAUCCCAAAGUGCUGGGAUUACAGACAUGAGACAUUUUCACAGACAGUAUUUAAUCCUUUUUAUGACACUUUGAGAUAGGUAUUCUUAUGCCUAUCGAUGUGGAAACUGAGGGUCAGAAAGAUUAAGAAACUUAUUCAUGGCCAUGCACAGUAGUCAUGCCUAUAGUCCCAGUGAGAGGUGAAGCUGGCUGGGCUUCUGGGUGGGGUGGGGACGUGGAGAACUUUUCUGUGUAGCUAAAGGUUUGUAAACACACCAAUCAGCACUCUGUAAAAUGCCCCAAGUGGGCGGAUCAUGAGGUCAGGAGAUCGAGACCAUCCUGGCAACACGGUGAAACCCCGUCUCUACUAAAAAUAUUAAAAAAAAUAGCCGGACGUGGUGGCAGGCGCCUGUAGUCC
rnacentral:lncRNA from 1 species